GGCGUAUGUGUUUGGGAAAUUUCUAUUUGGCAUAUUGUAUCUUCUGUAAUCUAGGAUCUUGAUUGCUUUAGAAAGGUACUUAUAAAAGAAAAGAACAGUCUUAAAUACAUGACUAAAGCAAUCAUCUUCUUAUACCUACAUCUAAUAGUGUCAAAUACAAAUCAGAAUCUCCAUAUCAUAUACCCGCGCCGCGCAUGCGCUCACGCGCCACGUGCGCUCGACAACGGAAGAAUUGCAUUUUAUUGGUUUUUUACAAUAUCUAUCGCAUUUUAUCAAUUUUUAACGAUGGUGCAAUUAGAUUCGAGUAGCGUGCAGUUUAUUUAUGUUUAAAAAAAUGCGAAUUUCCAAGUAUAUAAUCUGAGUUUAACCUUAUAAGUUGCGCGAUCUUGACCUAUUUUUUAUUCGUUAAUUACGGGGGUGCAAUUAAAAUAAUUGUUAUUUUUGGAAGGUGCUAUUAAAAAUACGUGCCUCUAUAUUUUUUUUUAUACCGAUAUUCCAAAUUCGUAGGCUGGGGUAGGGUAGGUGCGCGACGUGGCAGCAUUUUGCUGUCACGAAAAUCAGGCAGAAUGAGGGCGUAUUUUUUUGGAAAUUUUUAUCCAGCGUACAUGUGUGCCCUGUGAUAGCACACAGUUGGCACAACAUGCGGACAAAAUUUAAAUAAUCGUGUCAGCAAUCUGUCGGCUGUUGGACGACCCAAGUUGAGAGCUGCGCAAAAUGUUGUUGUUAUUUGUUUAUAAAUGAAUAUAUAACGAAAUAAAUAACAAAAUUAGGUGAAUUGAUGUUUCAGAUAUCGUUUCAAAUAACAACUCCUGGUGCACGAGCUGUCCUUGCCUACAUCCACCAGCAGAGGCUGAUAGGAAGCGGGUCCAGGAAGCUGUACCUGCAGCAUCAUCGCAGAUACUUCUUUCAUCCUUCUUUUCUUUCCCUUUUCUUAAUUAUUUACUUUCCUUUUUCAACUAUUAUAACAAUAGAUGUGAACUCUCUUCUCUUAUUUCUGAAAUAAUUUCUCUUUGUCGAGGUACCAUCAUCUUCUUGGGGAUUGCUGAACGAAGCUGCUCUUCUUCUGGAACAUCUAGCUGUCCAUGUAACUUCAAAAAAACAAGUUCAAAGUUACACCAACAAAAAAGGUUCAAAACUUAGAAGUUCAACGAAACACCAAGGCCAUCAAGGUACUCUGCACUUCUGGACUGGAAAACUGCAGCUAACAGGAUAUUCGCAGUCAAUCUCUUCGUUAGCAGUUCCUCGAUAAGGGUCUAACAUUUUGCCCAAGUGUCUACAAGUUGUUUACUUGAUGACUGUGGCUGUGCAUCUGGUAUGUUCCCGCCAUGUCUCUCUUGAUGCGCAACACAGAAGUAAAGUGUCUAGUAAAAGCUAGUGCAAGUCUUGUGCGGGGAAGGAAAAUUAUUAGGGAUUAGCAUGUGAGGGAGUAGGCUAGUUAAUCUAAGAUCUCUUCGAGCCUGAACAUCCACACGCGUUUAUAGCCAGAAAAAGCCUAUGAUUCUUACAAUGAAUGAUAAAGUGAUCUUUUAAGUUUUAUUUAAGUUUGCCUAUUCUUUCUAUGCACUGACUAUUAUACAAAGGUGAUAUAUAUUUUUAUAGUAAAAAAUCGAAUAAGAAUAAAAAAUACAAUAGUCUCUGCAGCCAUAAGAGAUUCACUUCAUUAAUUAUUGUAAGAAAUUACAGACUUAUUCUGGCUAAGCGCAUGCAGGUGUUAAGAUUGUAAUAUAUAUGUAUUAUAUAUGGCGUGAUAUUAUUAAUUAACUGAUUUUAUUGCUCUUGCGCUUGUUUAUUAUAAUUGUAUUUUUUAUCAUUAUUUAAAUUUGUUUUACUUGAUAUUAAUAAAAAAUAAUUUCAUUAAAAUAAA